rnacentral:lncRNA from 1 species
GGCUCAGAUUCCACCCCAAGUCUCUGUGACUCCACGAUGGACUGAAUUCCACAUACGGAAAGGCAUUAUCACCCCACCUGGAUUUAUUUUAAAACAGACUUUAUUUUGCAGAGCAGAGCAGUUAUAGGUUCACAGCAAAACAGCAGAAGGUACAGAGAUUUCCCAUAUACCCCCUGCCCUCCCCACAUGCACACUCUCCCCCACCAGAUGGACCAGAGUGGUACAUUUGUUACAACUGAUGAACCUACACUGACACAUCGUAAUCCCCCAAAGUCCACAGUUUACAUUAGGGUUCACUCUUGGUGGUGUAUGUUCCGUGGGUUUGGACAAAUGUCUAAUGACACAUAUGCACCAUUACAGUAUCACACAGAGUAGUUUGCCCUAAAAAUCCUCUGCGCUCCGCCUAUUCAUCCCUCCCUCCCCACUAACCCCUGACAACCACUGAUCUUCUUACUGUCUCCGUAGUUUUGCCUUUUCCAGUAGGUCAUAUAGUUGGAAUCAUACAGCACAUAGCCUUUUCAGUUGGCUCCUUUCACUUAUUGAUAUGCACACUUAAGUUUCCUCCAUGUGUUUUCAUGGCUUGAUAGCUCAUUUCUUUUUGGCAUUGAAUAAUAUUCCAUUGUUUGGAUGUACCACAAUUUAUUUGGCCAUUCACCUACUGAGUCAUGGGAUUUUUAAAACAUUCCGGUGUGGUUCCUACUGAAAAUAGAGAUAGCCACAGGGACCGGUCUUUCUCUUCUGGACCCCGUACCUGCCUCCUCACUCCUGCAACCCAUAUGGCACCUGCCAUGGGGGUGCCCCUUGGCCUGCCUCCUCUAGGCAUCAUUUCAGCAGCCUGGAAACCAGCUCUUCCUCCAGGAUGAGCUCUAGGGCCAAUCUGAGGAGAGCUCACACGUGCGCAUUGACCAGAAAAUCAGGAUGUUCCCUUUUCCCUCCUUGCCCAUGAUGCUCUCAGGUUUGCUCUCCAACCCCCAAAAUAGUCAUUCCUAAUAUGUCUCACCAGUUACCACGCAGGUUUUUUUAAUUCCUUCCAUCCAUCCAUUCGCCCAACAAGUAUUUAUUGAGCACCUACUGUAUGUUGGUGGUAGAUGGUAAGUCUUUAGAGGACACUGAAUGUGUUUAUCUAAGUUUGCAUGCAUUGUUAUACCCAUGACAGCCCCUCACUCCAUUAAUAAAUACUUUUUGAUGGCUAGGGAGUGGUGCGUGGGGAGAUAAAGACAAAGACAAACAGAGUGAGUGACUAAAAAUAAGCCUGUGAGACCACCUGAAUUCACUGUUAUCAUCAAAUUAUAAUAUCAUUAUUAAAUACAUUAUAAUUACAAACGUUUUAUUAUGAUAAGAACCCUAAUAUAGCACUUUCUGUGUUUUAGGACCUAAGUGCUUUUACAUAAAUGGUCAGUCUACUUGCCGCCUGAAAAGGCUGCACAGGCUGAAAUAUAAAUAGAUUAAAGAAAGUUUCAAACAAAUUCCUGGAGGGCAGAUCUAUAACAAGUUAUUAAAGUGGAGUUAGGAACAACCAGGGCGCAUUCCUAACCAAUGAGAAUGAUGUCAUGAAGGGUAAGUGCCAUAAUCCAGCCCACGCCAUCUUAGCGGCUCCAUCGGAGGCAGGGGCUCAAGUGGGCCAGAGCUCAGGGCUGACCCAGCCGGCCAUUGCUAAGCAGUUACUAUGGAACUGGAUUCACCCAGGGACCCCUGAGCCUCCACUAUGCUGGGAGCCUGUCAAAUGGCUUCUCCUCCACCCUUUCACCUCUGUCAGGCGAGCAGCUGUGUGCGUCGUCUUCUCACAUCUCUCCCCCCAACAAAAGAACCACAUUACUUUGUGUCAUCCAGUGAGUCACUGGCACGGUUGGGAACAGACCCAGGAUUCCUGCUCCUUUCUUUGCUGGGGCCGUUUGCUGGAGAUCACAAUCCUUCCACAUUAGUGGCCAGUUACAUUUACGGCUCUUAACAACAUUAAAUGGGGCUUCUGAGAUAGGAAGAUGAUGGGAAGUGAAGGCUGGGAGAUAAAAAGUCAAAACCUGAAACGACACACAAGAUUUUGAUUACUGAAGGUUUAAAAAUGGCAAUCCAACCCAUCCUGUCAUUCCAUUGGGAAGUGGUUCCUAGGUCUGGGAAGGAAUAACCCCCUCCCCUAUCUUGAGACUGUAUGGAAGAGAAAAGAAAGGGGAAGAAGGCAUAGCCAGGGGUCCUCAGAAAUUGUAUUCUCCAAUUCUUCCCUACAGUUUCAUCUCUAUACUUACUUCAAGUCGCCAUUUGUCUUCCUUUCUAUCGUGUAAAUGGCGUGUUACAGUUUACCAUGCACAUUUACGCCCACGGUUCCACCUGAGACUCAUAACAGAGGUGUGAUCAUGGAAAGAGCAGUGGGCUGGAAGUCAGGUGACUAGGACUCUCUACCUAACAGGCCAUGUGACCCCAGGCAGGUCACCUCACCUGCACCUCAGUCCCUUAGUUAUAAAACAGGGGCUGGCCUGGUUGGCCUGAAGGUCUCAUACUGCUCUAAGCUUCCAUGUCUGUACGUCCAAGCCAAGUGCAAGGGAACAAGCCGCUGACCUCACGGCUGAGGCCGUCUGUGGUUUUCUCCAUCUCCUCCUGAGGUUGUGGUGGGAACACACACCAGGGGUUUGGUCACAGGCUCCAGAAAACCUGGCAGUACAGGAAGGGCAGCGGGCAGUGACUCCCAUUGAUAGAGGAGACAGGAGCAGGGGACACAAAGGAGAGCUCUGUGGCGGCUGGAGACUGGGUAUGAAAGAGGGGGGUCAGUUUAAAUGUCUCCCAGGGGUGAGCCAGGGGCGGAAGGUGCUCCUGGUAGACCGGGCAUGUGUGGCCUGAGGAUGGGGCUGUGACACUCAGCCAAGGACCAACAAUGAUUGUCGGAAGAUAACAGUGGCUUCAGGUCACCCACUUGGCUCCGUUUCCAGCACAUAGGCACCAUCAUUUUGUUUAAAACUUUGAGAAGCUGUUGUUGUCUCUAAUUUGUUUUUGGCAUGAAAAUGCUGUUCCAACAGGAAAUUUUCUGUUGCUUUACAGAGGAGAUUAUGAUGGAGGAGAAACAAGGUAUUUCUUCUGCACUUGGGUGGAGCUGGCUGCUGGUGUGCCAGAUGGGGAUGCUUUAAGAGGGAUGCCCUCUCUGGUUUCAAGAGAGAAAAGAGAGUCAAGGGUAGGCCUGGCAGGGCUGGGCCUAGGGUGAGGCGAGUGAGGUGCUUAGGGUGGAAACGCAGGAUGAGCACCUGCAACAGGGCACCUUCUCACCUGCCUGACCCUCCUUCUCCAGGGAUCUUCUGGGGUGGAGUGGGUCACUGGGUCAGAGGCCCUGGGAUUGCAUUAAAAGGGAAAAAGCAGGUUCUAGGGGACUCAACAUACCCCGAAUAAGACAUAGAUUUCAUAGCCCAUCUUCGUCACCAAAACACAGACUCAGAGUCCAGCUGACCUGGGAAUGACUUCCUGUUUGCCAUUCUUUAGCUGUGUAACCUAGGGAAACACAUUUAGAUUUCCUUCUUUGUCAGUAAAAUGGGGCAAUUAAUAUCAACCUCAGAGGGGCGGGCGAUAGGGUUAAACGAGGGGGACAAAGAGGAUAAUGAAAACACCUGCCACAUAGUAAACCUCAGUAAAUUGUUAGCUCCCUGUGAGGCUAUUGCGACAGGGCUGAAAGAUCCAGCUGUAAGAUCGAACCUCUGGAAAUUUCGCAGGCAGUAUUAGCAUAAGAGGAGGGUUUGGGGACCAGUUCAGGAAUUUCAGACCCAGAGUUAAAUAACUUGCUGCAGGUCACAUGACUAAUGGCAGAGUUCGGACACAGAUAAAUGGGCCAAGCUGCCCUAAAUUGAUGGAUUAUAUACAUAAACAUUCAAAGCACAGCCUUUCUCUACGAGCAGAGAUAUAAGCAUACGGGGAGCAGCUGGAAGUGAAGGGAUAGGGAGUCAAGGGCCAUAGAAAACUUCCUGACUUUUGAGUAAGGAUGAGAUUCCGGUUAAUCACAGAGGGCUUCCAGGAGGAGGUUCUGAGGCUUCGGGGAGCUUCCAAUGAGGUUCAGGUGCUCUUCUUUUUUUCAACAUCAUCUUAGCCAACACUUCUCCGGACAAAGAGAUAUAAGACAAGUUCUGCCUCCACGGGUGAGCGAGAGCAGUCAUCGCUCUAGAUCUUUCACGAUCCAAGGCCUGGUCCCUUUAAGACAUCGAAACUCAGUGAACGUUCUACGGAGGCCUCGCGGCCUCCCCGAGGCGCGCUGACGUCAUCCUUCGGGGAAGCGGCUGACGUCAGCGCGUCCUCGGCGAGGGGGGCGGGGCCGUGACUCACCCGCACCCCGUCCCGCGGGGCGCACGUGAGCGCGCCGCGCGCUCGGCGCUAAUUUUAGCUCGGGCUGCCUCCGGGGGGUCGGGCGAGGUCUAGGCGGGCAGGGGGCUCCUGGCGGGCUGGGGGCGCGGUGCUCUCCCGUGUCUUGCUGCGCCGCCGUCGGUGCCCCUGGAGCGGCGGGCCCGGCCCGAGGGGUGGCGCCCCGCGGCGACUGAAUAGCGCUUCCGGAGGCUGGGCCCGAAGGGUGCGCUCCGCGUGCGGCCCGGCCCCGAGCCCGCCAGGCCUCAGGUGGGCGCUCCCUCCUGGAUGGCGACUCGGGACUUCCCAGAGAGGGCCAACGUUCUGGAAAGUUCCCUGGUGGCUGGGGUGCGAUGUGGGCUGAAGUCAGCACAGCAGCGGGGCUCGGCGAGGGCUCGGCGGGCGGAGUGGACCGAGCCUGUCGGGACGACAGCCCUCAGGGGCGGCCGUGGGGCGGGCUCCGGGCGCUUGGCCGUCGGGGCGGGUGGGGGGCGCCCGGGACCCCCCAGCGAGUCGCCAAGCCCGAAUUCGGCGCGGCGGUGGGAGGGACGCCGCCCUCCGCGGUGUGAAGGGCGGUGGCCGUUCUAGGGUCGGGCCAAGCUCUGGGGCCUGAAGGUCAGCGGUUGAGAAGCCAACGCUGAUGUCACAGAGCCCAGGCGCUCGGUCCCGAGCCGCGCGGGGACCAAGGUGACCUUCCAGAUAGAAGCUUCGUUUUAAGGAAAGCAGUGCCGGACACCUUGUGAAAUGGACACUCUCCUGUGCUUUGGGUGAAUUAAACAUCAAGAGCUCACAAAUGAAAAGUCUUGGGAAGUCAACUUGUGAAGUAGGAAGGCAGAAGAAGAAGAGGAUAAAUAGUUUCAUCCUCUCCCUGUUGAUGGUGUUAGGGAAGAAGCUAUGCCCUUGCAUCUUGGUAAACAAGAUCUCUCAAGGAUGUCACUUCACUGUUUUCACCAUAGUGUGAGCUCCUCUUUGGCUUCACAGUGGAGGAUAAGUUCCCUGCGUUGGCUGCCUCUUGGAGUCACUGUCUGACACAAGUUCUCCACAGGGAAGUGAGAGGACUGUCCUUAUCUGAAGGAGAGGGCGUCCAUCAGCUCACAGCUAGAUGUUCUGCGACCACCUUCUCAGCAACUGUAGAGGUUGGAGCCGCCGUAUCUGCCUCACUCGGGAUUGCAGGUCCUCGGCGUGGGCGUGGCACAGACCGGGUGAGGCCACUGAGGCACAGAGAGGCAGUUGGACUCACAGUCACCCAGCUGAGGUGACAGAACCAGGAUCGGGAGGCUGGCUCCCAAGUCUACACGCUUAACCACUUGCUCUUCCCCGCCUUUGUGCUGGUCACACAACGAUGCCAAAAACCGCUUUGGGGAGCAUUUUGCCUUUAGCUGGCCUCUAUCUUGUUGACCACCCUCCUUCCACCUGCUUCCCACUCCCUGAGGUCAUUUUAUGGCUAAAUGAAUCCCAACUAAAUACUAACUCUGAGGAGGGUCCCGGUGUUUGCCACAGCAUCUGUGUUCAGAAGGUUCAUGGGUGCAAACUUCCCAUUUGGACUAAUGGGAGGGCCUGGCCUCUGAUUUGGGACGUUUGUGUCCGA